rnacentral:misc_RNA from 1 species
AGUUGUACGUCCAAAUAAAACAUCAAACUUAUAUGAUUUCAUCACCUGGCCAAAUGACCCUUAAUACCAAAAAUGCCGUAUCAAAAUGUUUAAAAAGCACACCAUACUGACCAGUAAAAUACCCCUAACAGCAAUCAAUCUCUCCGAGUUUCAACAAAUUGAACGAAUUACAAUUACACUACAUAUCAAAGACCAGACAAAAUUUCAAUGUUCAGAGAACCAAAAUCACGGCAUGUGCAUAGAAUUUUUCUCAUAAUACAUAAAACACCUACGGCCAAGAAGCAUUUAUCUCCUUCAUCCUUUUCAUUUUCUUGUUGAUUUGAACAGCCCCAGGUGACAGAAAAUGGACAGGUG